rnacentral:sRNA from 1 species
UAACACAUACAUGAGCUUGAUAAUAGGUUUUUAAGAUCAAUUAAUCCUAAAGCACUAUCAUGUCGUUGUAGUACUGAAGGUUGUCAAUCCAAAUGAGUGUGAUGCUAGCAAUCAAGAUGCAAUCAGAGUUCACAGAGUCAAGCCAAGCAAUAACAGGGUUUGAGUUUCUAGCAGUCCUUAGUGAACAUGCAGAAAACAGAAAUUCAAGCAGAACAAUCAAAACACUCGACCAACACAGCUUGUUACCAACCA